rnacentral:ncRNA from 1 species
CCAGCGGGCCGUGACUGGCGCGCUGGGAUGGGACGGACCAUCGGGGAGCGGCCCGAGCGCCAAAAUCAGUGCCGUGCGCCUGGGCCGAACGU